CCUACGGGAGACAGCAGUGAGGAAUAUUGGUCAAUGGGCGCGAGCCUGAUCCAGCCAAGCAGCGUGAAGGAUGACUGCCCUACGGGUUGUAAACUUCUUUUAUAAAGGAAUAAAGUGAGGCACGUGUGCCUUUUUGUAUGUACUUUAUGAAUAAGGAUCGGCUAACUCCGUGCCAGCAGCCGCGGUAAUACGGAGGGUCCGAGCGUUAUCCGGACUUAUUGGGUUUAAAGGGAGCGUAGAUGGGUUGUUAAGUCAGUUGUGAAAGUUUGCGGCUCAACCGUAAAAUUGCAAUUGAUACUGGCAGCCUUGAGUACAGUUGAGGUAGGCGGAAUUCGUGGUGUAGCGGUGAAAUGCGUAGAUAUCACGAAGAACUCCGAUUGCGAAGGCAGCUUACUAAACUGCCACUGACAUUGAGGCUCGAAAGUGUGGGGAUCAAACAGGAUUAGAUACCCUUGUAGUC
rnacentral:rRNA from 1 species